rnacentral:rRNA from 1 species
GACGAACGCUGGCGGCGUGCUUAACACAUGCAAGUCGAACGGUAAGGCCCCUCGGGGUACACGAGUGGCGAACGGGUGAGUAACACGUGGGUGAUCUGCCCUGCACUUCGGGAUAAGCCUGGGAAACUGGGUCUAAUACCGGAUAGGACCACUGCCUGCAUGGGUGGUGGUGGAAAGCUUUUGCGGUGUGGGAUGGGCCCGCGGCCUAUCAGCUUGUUGGUGGGGUGAUGGCCUACCAAGGCGACGACGGGUAGCCGGCCUGAGAGGGUGACCGGCCACACUGGGACUGAGAUACGGCCCAGAGUCCUACGGGAGGCAGCAGUGGGGAAUAUUGCACAAUGGGCGCAAGCCUGAUGCAGCGACGCCGCGUGAGGGAUGACGGCCUUCGGGUUGUAAACCUCUUUCAGCACCGACGAAGCGCAAGUGACGGUAGGUGCAGAAGAAGGACCGGCCAACUACGUGCCAGCAGCCGCUGUAA